rnacentral:rRNA from 1 species
AGGGAAUAGAUACCCUGGUAGUCCUGGCAGUAAACGGUGCACGUUUGGUGUGGGCGCAAUCGACCGCGUCCGCGCCGGAGCUAAACGCGUUAAACGUGCCGCCUGGGAAGUACGGUCGCAAGAUUAAAACUCAAAGAAAUUGACGGGGACCCGCACAAGCGGUGGAGUAUGUGGCUUAAUUCGAUGCAACGCGAAGAACCUUACCUGGUCUUGACAUGCAUUGUGUCUCCGGUGAAAGCCGGAUAGGGUAGCAAUACCCGCUUUGCACAGGUGCUGCAUGGCUGUCGUCAGCUCGUGUCAUGAGAUGUUGGGUUAAGUCCCGCAACGAGCGCAACCCCUGUGAUUUGUUGCCACCGGCUUAUGCCGAGCACUCGAAUCAGACUGCCUCGAUCAACGAGGAGGAAGGUGGGGAUGACGUCAAGUCCGUAUGGCCCUUACGACCAGGGCUGCACACGUACUACAAUGCCCAGUACAAUGUGAACCGAGACCGCGAGGUGGAGGAAAUCAAU